AAGUGAUUUCCGUUUUUCAUCCGUCAGUUAAUAUCGUUUUCUGUUGUUGAAUUCAGAGUGUCUUUCCUUGGUUUAUUUGUUACGAAAAAUACACGGAUAGUCCCUGCUAUGACAUUGAUCUCGACGGAUUCUCCAACGACACGCAUAACGUAUUUAGCAGUACGCUGACAAAAUAUUUUUUGUUUAGAUACUCUGCAUGAACCUAUUUUGAUUAAGUUUUCCCGUCCCCAAAAUGGAACAAUUCUUGUGUAAUGUGUUAUUGUACAGCUUUUGGAUUUCAUCGAAAUGUUUCUUUUGCCAAUGUACACAUAGAGUGCAGUUUCUUUCAUCAAUGGAGGUUGAUAACGAGGUUUCCAUGACCUACAAAGCUGAUGUAAAGACGCAUGUAACAUCGAGGACACUACACUGUUGUCUGUCGGAGUAAGGAGUACUUUUACAUGACUGUGUGUUGUAUUCAAUUGAACGAACUUGUGUUACAUAAAUCUAUGUAAACUUUAUCAUAACAAUACGAAAAUAGCAUGCGACUGUACAUAGUCGAACCCGACGGGAUGUCGGAAUAAAAAGGGCAAACUUGCACACACGCUCUGGAAAUUGGCAUGCGAUGAACAUUUAAAUCAAUGGUUAAUAAAAAUUACGAAGAAGCUCCAGAAAUUAUUGUUUCUUACUCAGAAGUUUGGUAUAAAGACACACCCUGUGAAUAGACAUGCACAUUACACACACAUGUAAAAGUUUGGAAUAAAGACACACCCUGUGAAUAGACACACAUGUAGUACUUGUUUCUACAUUGAAAGGCCAUUUGAUUUUAAAGUAUGUCAAACGAAACCAAUGCACUCUAGCAUUUGCAGUACUGUGUUCUAAGUAGAUUUCUAUAAAGCAACUAGAACGAAGAGAACGUUCCUUGUUCACGGCAUGUCGGGAGACGACUACAUGUGGUGACAUCACACUAUUCACCAGGUAUGCGGUCCGUGGACCCUACCGUAAUUUUCAUGAUAUUUUGACAUGAAUUCGUUUGGACAAAACCUGUAACACAUGUGUGGAAUUCAAAAGGUGCACAGUGGACUAUGAAAAAGGACGAGCUGGAUUUCAUCAAACAUAGCCAAUUAAGACUGUGUUGUGGCAGCCUUUAGCGGUCUUAGGUAAAGGUAUUCCACUAACCCAUUGCCGAUUCUGAAGCAUAUUCAUACAAGUAUGGAGGACCACAAUACAGUGUCUGUUAGAAUGUUAGAUUUUAUUUUUCACUUCGUGAACAUGUCAGACUGACUUGUUCAUAAAAUGGAUUGAAUUCGAUAUGGUAUGCAUCCAAACUGUAGCAUGCAAACAACCAGUAGAUGUAACAUUUUACUCGAGGUGAGGGUAAGACUGACCAGUCGCUAACGCCGUCAGUGUAGUCGUGGUCAUCUUCGUUGUUGUUUUUGCUGUUUUUCGCCACACUCAACAAAUUUUCAGUUAUCUGGUGACGCCCAGUUUUUUAAUGGUGGAAGAGAGAACCCAAAUACAAUGUAGCUAGGAAGAGACCACCGACCUUCCGAAAGUAAACUGGGAAACCAGUGGCGUAGCUUCCAUUGAGGCAACCGAGGCAGCUGCCUCAGUAAAAAAAAGAACACCUUUUACGUUUUUAAAAUGUCGAUAGCUUCUGGGGGGCUGCGCCCCCCAGACCGCCUGCCUCGGUAAUAUUCGAACCCAAGCUACGCCUAUGGAAACUUUCUCACUUACUGGCGCGAGCGGGAUUCGAACCCGCGCCGACCAGAGGUGAGAGGCCGUGCGAUUUUGUCAUCUUCGUCAGUGAAGGACGAACAUCAAUAUUGUAAGAAUAAGUACACAUCAGGUGCAUGUAGAAACAUGUAGAUAUCAAUUCUAAAGCAAAUAGAUUCUGCUAAAUAUGAAAAACGUUCGUUUCAUUUGAUUGUCCACUAGACGAACAUGCCAGAAAAAAGUAUGCAAAAAUAUUGUAUGAAAAUCUUGCUCCGGUAUCUUGUUUACUUAAUCCAUUUAAUGUUGUAUCUACAUGAUAGAUCAGAAAACUCUUUAAAUCGGCUUUGAAACGACCGGUCGCGGUGGCUCAGUGAUGGAGCGUCCGAUUUUUAACUGGGAGGUUGGGAGUUCGAGCCCCGCGCGUGUCAUGGCUGCGUUAAACCCAAGACAUAAACAUAGCUAGUGAUUGAUCCUUCGCCAAACGCACGGCAUUUAGUGGUGAGAACCAAUGGUCUUUCGGAUAUGACCUUAAAAACGGAGGUAGCGACAAGCGUUGGCACGUUACACAGCCCUCACUGCUACGUCCGUAAGCGUUUUAGCAUGAGGUUUAAAUGUGGCACUUCACCUACAACUGUUGACGCUCGAAAUUGUUCAAUUUUUUCAUUACCAAAAUGCAGCUUUGAAUUAUUCAGCAAAUCUUCUAUUCCUGAUAUCAGAAAUUGGAAUACGCUUAGUGUUCAGACAAGGAAAGCAACUUCUAUUAAAACUUUUUAGAAAUACCCGAUAAACAAUGUUGUAAAACCAUCAAAAUACUUUUAAUAUGAGAAAAGAUUUUUGAAAAUAAUUCACACAGGGUGAGACAUAAUUUUAUUUUAAACUCUGAUUUAUUUCGUUGUAACCUAAUAGACAAACCAAAUUGUUCAUGUGGACUAUCAUAGAAGAUGCGUCUCAUCUAUUUAUUGUGUUUAACAAAACUACAGCAAGACGCUGCUUAAUGAACAAAUUACUUUCAUUCAAUGAUAUAAUAUAUUGAUUGAUUGUAUCUUAUUUAACGUCCCUCUCCAGAAUUUUUCACUCAUAUGGAGACAUCACCAUUGUCGGUAAAGGCCUGCGAAAUUUAGGCCUAUGUUCGGCGCUUGCGGUCUUUGAGCAGGGAGGGAUCUUUAUCGUGUCACACCUGCUGUGACACGGGGUCUCGGUUUUUUCCGGUCUCAUCCGAAGGACCGCCCUAUUUAGUCGCCUCUUACGACAAGCACCUUUCUAACCCAGAUCCCCACGGGACCAAUGAUAUGUACAUUAUACAUGUUCAUCUAAUGCUAGGAAGGAAGGAAUCUCUUUCUGAUGUAAAACUUAUACGGUACCAAUUUUGAUGCACCAGAUGCGCAUUUUGACAAAUAAUGUCUCUUCAGUGAUGCUCAAUACAAAAUUUAGAACUUUACAAGGAUAUUCAACCUUUUCUAAAUAAAUGUAGCUGGGGGUUUUUUUUAGAGAGAGAGAGAGAAAGAUUAAGAACUGUUUUCUAUAAUAUAAUAAUGAUACUACCUGGACACUCUGUAAACACAUAUGGGCCUAAUAGGCUAUACGUGUAUUGUCUUUCUUGGUAUCCGUUGUAGAUUACUAAUAAUGUAUGGCAAUUUUGUAAAUUAUUGUAAUGAGAGAGGACUAUAGAAGUUUUUAAACUUGUACCUAAUCCUUUUCAUGUUUUUGUCAAUAAUAUAUGUGCAAUUCACAGCUGGUGACGUCUCAAUAUGAGUGAAAAAUUCUCGACGGGACGAAAAACAAAUAAAAAUCUUUUAAACUAAAACUUGCUACAGCUACCCAAUGAUAUGUUUUUGUUAUAUGUAAUACAUGUAUAUGGCUAACAAGCAUAUCCUUGGAUUAUAGAAUGCUUUGGAUUGAACAUAUCGUGUACGGCGUGUGUACCAUGUAAAAUUUCGGAUUAGUGGUGUCUAUUUACAGACUUACCAAUACCGGAGUAUGUACCAGAACAAACUACGGACUUACCAAUACCGGAGUAUAUACCAGAACAAACUACGGACUUACCAAUACCGGAGUAUAUACCAGAACAAACUACGGACUUACCAAUACCGAAGCAUAUACUAGAACAAACUACGGACUUACCAAUACCGGAGUAUAUACUAGAACGGACUUACCAAUACCGGAGUAUAUACUAGAACAAACUACGGACUUACCAAUACCGGAGUAUAUACUAGAACGGACUUACCAAUACCGGAGUAUAUACUAGAACAAACUACGGACUUACCAAUACCGGAGUAUAUACCAGAACAAACUACGGACUUACCAAUACCGGAGUAUAUACUAGAACGGACUUACCAAUACCGGAGUAUAUACUAGAACAAACUACGGACUUACCAAUACCGGAGUAUAUACCAGAACAAACUACGGACUUACCAAUACCGGAGCAUAUACUAGAAUGAACUAGGGACUUACCAAUACCGGAGUAUGUACCAGAACAAACUACGGACUUACCAAUACCGAAGUAUAUACCAGAACAAACUACGGACUUACCAAUACCGGAGUAUAUACUAGAACGAACUACGAAUUACUCAAUAGACAUGUUAAAUGCCUCCAGGUAAUUAAAUUUGCUUUGCCUUUUUGCUAUGUGUGCAGCGGUAUUUAAAAGUUGUGUAUUGUGUAAUAAAGUUUUCCGGGUUGCGUGGGUCACAGUGGGCACAGUCACUACUGGGCGGGUGGAAAUUCUGUGCAGGUCCGAUACCAUGCAUCUUAUUCUAACCUUCAAAGUGUGAUAAGAAAAUUAUUUCAUUACAUAACACUCGACAAAACCUUCAAUUUAUUGCAUUGAGUGAGCAAAUAAAGAACAGAUAUGUUAUCCCGCCAACUCGAUUUGAUCUCCGAUGCACAAACAUGCACUGUUUGCAGUUAAAGUUUAUAUGAAGCAGGGGGCACCCUAAGGAUUGCAGGCAACACAGGUGUUUAGAGUUUCAUUAAUUAGGCAACCAUACUUCUUUGUCAAGAAAUUUUCUUCCGUCUGGACCGGCAUUAUUAGAAAUUGUUGGAACACAUUAGUUAUCUCCUUACAUAUAUCUGUUGAAUAAUAUGUCGACAUGCUAGACAGCAUAGUUAUCAUCUUGGUCGGGGAUAUGGAGCAAUUUAUCAAAGGGACUAUAUUUUCGAUGCGCAAUGGGUCGAGAGCAAGCUACAAGGAGUACGACCCUAGUUGACCUUAGAAGAAUCUCUUGUUUUGGAUGAUAUGUGGUGGAGAACAACCUCGUAUAUAACAUUGUUGUCAGCUGACCGCCCAUGAAGUGGGUUCAAAUGUCUCGUACCCCGAGAAUUUGUGCGAGACGAGCCGUAACGACAGGGUAGUACCCCUGAAACGACUGGCAACGUGUAAUUAUUUUCCGUCAACUUCGUCGUAAGAAAAUGGAUAGAAUGAGGACAAAAAUUGAAAAAAUGUAAGCAUGAAAACUAUGCAAUUUUCAUUUGUGUUGUUUUCUGAAAUAUUGCGUUAUGCAAUAAACUUCCGAAAGCUCAAUGAGUUCUCCUCUGCACCAGCUGAUACCAGCGUUUGGGUCGACAUGCAACCUGCUUCAGGACGGAAAUUUGAUUUAACGGGUGAACAAUGUUUGGAUUUCUUUGCUUUUAUCUGCACUUAUUUAAGAAACCUCAAAGCGUCUGUAUAUUCAUUUUGAUAUCCCCCGGCGAUGCUCGAAAAGAUAGUGAUUUUGAUGAAAGUUUAAUAUUUAAUGACUGGUGCUGGGCUCGUUUUCGGACAAGUGGAAAAAACAUAACAUUGAGGACAUUUAAAAGUUGCAAUUGAAGUUUGACAUUUGCAGCUUACGAAGGUCACUUCGUCCGUAAAACCUGCCGAACGUUAACACGAAUAAAAUACAAAAUGUCAAACAUUUCAUGUCAUAAAUCACCCGUAAUAGAGCUAGAUUGUUCCGCCGGUGUACCAUAGUUACCCGGAUAGCAGAAAAACGCCGCACACUAAAGAACUGGCACUUCAAGCCUCUCCGGAAAAUCUGAAGUCAAAGACAAGUCGCAUGAACCCAGACAUGUACAUAUAUUAUUAUGUAAUACAAAAACAAACCAGAGAUCGUGUUGAAAACCGCAAUCAACACUCGACUCGUGCUCUCUGCUGUCUGGCAAUGACAGGGGGUCCAUAGGGGAGGAUUGUGGUCGCUGAAAUGACUUUCAUCUUUAGCCUUCAUUUCCUCUGCUUUACUUCUCUUGUCCAUAUUGCAAAUGUGUGUGUACUAUUUUACAUAUAGUUAGAAUGUAGCGCUCAUCAGAAAUUGAUUUUUUUUUUCAAGAUACGUAUUGGUGUUGCUGUUUGUCAAAUAGACUGUAAUCAUAUUACCAGUACUUUAAGAAAUCAGUGAAGUCUUGCACUCUCUUACAAUAUUUCUGCACCUGUUGGAGGCCCUGCAGAUUACUAUCUUACUAAAAAGUACCAAAACACUGCCCGUGAAUCCUCUUCUUUUGUGUGUUCACUCGUAUUAUUAGAAAACUUUGGACAUUGCGAACUACUCGUCUGUGCAGAGCAAUAAUGUUUUGCUGCUUUUCGUGGAACGAUCAAAUAUACAAGUAUAUGCAUGUUAAAUUUUCUACUCUUCUAAUGACAGUAAGGGAAUUUUCAAUUUUGAAGUGGGUGUAUACACCAAAUCAAGCAAUUCAUCUGGUUUGGUUCUGAUACCUCGCGUUUUGAGAUUAAAAACUGAAAGUUAACAUUUUAAGGUGAAUAACAAUAUAUUUUAACAUUUUCCACCUGUAUAAUUCAUAAAAUAUCGAUCUCUCUUUUAAAGGAAUCAAAUCAUAUAUAUUUACAGACGACAGUUUUGUUAUUCGAACCUUUCUUGCAUAAUGCACUAACCCACGCUUAUCCUGGAAAUCUCCCAGAAUGUUGACAACCUGUUCCUAGAGCUCUCGCGUUGUGACCGGGAGAUCGCGAGUUUGAGCCCUGCUCGUGCCAUGGUCGCGUGAAACCUAGAGUUAUAAUAUGUAGUGACUGUUCCUUCGCUAACCGCUUGACAGAGACGUGAGAAUCACGGGCUUUUCGGUACGGCCCUGAGGGCCAAGGAUAGGUCUAAUUCUAUGGUAUACUCAACAACAUAAGAUAACGUCUCAAUAUGAAUGAAAAAUUCUUACACACGGAGACAGACAGACAGACACACACGCAUAUAUAUAUAUAUAUAUAUAUAUAUAUAUAUAUGUUAGAGCGUUUGCCGCCCUGCUUGCGAAAGGCCAGAGUACGAAUCCUGACCGUGACGGACCCGUUCUACCAGGUAGUGACAGUUCCAUCGCCAAACGCUCAGCAUCAGGUGUGGUUGUCACGGGUCCUCAGAGAUGACCUUAAAAACGGAUGUCCCGUGUCACAGUAGGUGUGGCACGCUAAAGAACCCUCUCUACUCAAUGACCGUUACAAGCGCCGGGCUAAAUCCUAAAUUUGAAGCCCUUCACCGGACUUGGUGACGUCACCACAUGAGUGAAAAAUUCUCCAGACAGACGUUAAACAAGAUACAAUCAAUCAAUAUAUGUAUGUGUAAUUUUUUCUUCUUGUCUAGAUGGUCUAGCGCACUGGUCACACGAUGCUAGGUGAUUUGGUUCCUGCAGGUCCUGAGUUAAAUAUCUCUGUAUAUAUGUGUAUUUCAUAUAUUUGUGUUAUAGACGUCUCCAUAUAAUCAAUCAAUUCUUAUUCUUUACUGGCACUAUUUAAGCACAUGCUUGUUAGCCAUGUAUUAUAAAUUUCAUAUAUAGUGUUACAUGGUAUUAUAAUUGUAACAAUGCUUUGUUUCUAAGGUAUAAAGAAUCUCUGAUAUACAAACAAAUUUCUUUUGUAGACACAAGCUUGAGAGGAUUCAGUAAACAAGAUACAGGAUAGUCAUAUAAUAUUUUUGAAUACGUUUUUCUUAUAUGUUUGUAAGAAGGACUAUCAAGUAAAAAAUGUUUUACAUCUUCAACACUGGUCUUACAAUGGUAGCAAAAUCUGUUUUCUCUAGGAAUGACAGGAUUACAAUAUCUACCUGUUUCUAUAUAUAACUGAUGUGCACUUAUUCUUAGUUUUGUAAGAUGAGAGCGCAGAUUCUGGUUGUUUGUCCUCAUAGUUAGAUAAUGUACUAUAAAAUGAGAGGUUUCC